CUCCAGGAAUCUGCCGAGAUAAAAGAGAUAGAGAGGAGAGCACUCGACAUGAGACUACGAAUUCAGAGAGGUGGAAACACCAGCAGGAUACCAAAUAUCGACUCGAAUAAAAGACAUGAGUCGAACAACGGGUGUUCAACCUGUAAUUCUCUCUUGUGUGGAGAGCUCUCUCCACUCGCUCCCGGUCGUCGGAGUGGCGAAGCCUUUUCGGCGCCAUCGAGAGAGCCAACCGUCCCACCCUGGGAGGCCAAAUGGCGUUCAAAGUUCAGAUUGUUUUUUCGCGAACGCGUGACUGCAUCGAGAGACGUACCGAGUCGCAAAGGUGCGUGGCGGGGACGGCUUUCUGGGCGACGCAUACCCACUCCUUGGCUUUCUUGUCUUUUUCUCUUCCGAAUCCGACAGGACAGACGAACUGGACUUCGGCGUACUCCAGACGCUCGCAGAAGCCGGCCUGGACGCGGGGCAGUGGCGGGCCGACGACGACGGGGGAGGGAGUGUCUCCUUUUCGCGAGCCGAGGUGUGGAGCGACGACCUCUUUCGCGCUCUGGGCCGGCAACUCGUGCUCAGGUAAACGAUAUCCCGUUGGACAAGUCCACCCAGGGGCCUCCUUCACCGUCGUCACGCACCGGCUUGUUGCCGCGUGUAGAUCAAAGCCUUCGCUGCAGAGCGCGACACUCGGCUCGAACUCUUCGCGCAGGCAACGCAUGAACGGCUGCUCUUCCGCGCCCGCAAAGGAGGCAGAAGGCGCAGAGCCGUCGGCGCAGACCACGGAGACCGGCUCCACCUCCACCUGGGGGCAACGCGACACGGUGGACGGACAGGAGGCGAACGUCACAACGCAGAGGGGUUCGCGGUUCCAUCUGGGGGACGGCUCGACGGUAGGCAGACACAAGUCGAUGGAGAUACACCAAAUGCGGGGAAGGAAAGUGCAUGAAAAGAAGAACGGCAGACAACUGGGAGGGGCCAGAAAGCAGGAGGUGGGCGCAGAGGAGGCACAAGCGCCACACUGAGAUGGCGUCGACGCCCGUCCCGGUGCUGAAGAGUUCAGACCUCGCACAGGGGAGGCACGCAUGAGGCGGGUGAAAGCGUGGAGAGACUGUGCACAGAGAGAGAGACGCAAAAACAAUCUGGAGAGAGACUAACUGACACGGAUGCACAGUGCUCGAUGGGGAUGUGCGUGCAGAGUGGCAUGCCAUGCAAAUACUUCAGAAACGAAAGGACAACUCAGUUCUCGAGAGAACCGGGGGCUGAGUUCUGUGGGCAGCGUCAACGCGAACUAUGUGGAAUUUCCUGCGAAAGCGAACACGCAGUCUCGAGGGUUCCUAGAUCCAGUAUGGAUGCGCACCUGUCGAAUCGCAUGCACUUUCAAAAGCGAGGAAAAAACUCAUGCACUGUGUGAACUGUGGUUUCUUCGUGUGUCGUCGAGAAAAAACAGUCACGGUUCGUUCAGCAGGGAAAAAAACGACGAGACAGAUGUUCGCAUGGUCAAGUCCGUCGUCUUGGCAGGGCCUGCCUCUGAUGGAGGCCAGCUCCCUGGGUGCAGGUCGGCUGCGAUAUCCUAGGAUAUCGAAGUCUCGCCACAGCGGUCAUGUUCUACGCAUGGCACUUCGCUUCCUGUUGUCACUCGUAACUUCCCAGCGAGAGAAGCCGCCGACUCCGUCGCGCGUAGGAUCAGGUGCUUCGUCCUAGGACUGAAAGCGUCUCUGCAGCUCGAGCCUACCUGUUCACAUCGAGAUGUGACAAAUGCGUCGUCUGCAACGCGACCAGAAGGGCAUAUGAGCGUAGGUUUUUUCGUCCUGACUUCCACGCAUUCCUUUUCAGAGACGUCCGCCUUUGCCCACCCUCGAGGUGACGCUCCACCCUUCUGCGAGCACGGACCCGGCACUAGGGUGGGCGCGACGACGAUGCGUUGUCUGCAGACAAGGCCUGCUGAUGUCUCCUGGGCAAAGAACGUGGACGAAGUCGAAGAGGUCGCCGGUUCUUCGUUGGCCAGUCGAGCCUUUGCAUUUGGAGAGGUAGACGUCGCCGUGUGUGGAGGCUUGGAAGAAGCUUCCAGACGCCGAGAGCGCGGCGAAGGCAACCGAGGAAGCCGGUGAAGCCCGAGAGAUGCUCGCUGCGUGAGAGCCGCCGUCUUCGCGGAGCCGCCACUGGAGGCAGUCGCUGUCGCACGAAAAGGCGCGGAUCCGUUUGGGGACGGCGCCGCGCGAUUCUCGGAGUCUUUGAGGUCUUUUUGAGGAUGCUUUUCUCCCCGGCCUGCAGUCGGCAGGUGGCUUGCCAAGUGCGAAUCGAGACGCGUGGUCGACGGGGCUCUUUGCUCUUGCGUUUCUCUUGCCUUUUCGCGUCGACCGUUAUUGGAAGGAUCCUUCGUCCCGGGUGGGCCUGUCGCCAGCAGGCGUCUGUCUGCCUCUCCUGUGUCGCUGCCAUCCCCAGGUCGCCCCCCUCGGCGCAGACUCAGGUCUCCAGACGCGCCAGGCGGCGCUCGCUUUUUUCCAUUCUCUGACGGCUUUGCUUCACCCCUUCGAUCAACAGCCUGGCCUUCGUCAGCCGCUAGCGUUCCGCCCUCUGGCGGUGCAAGGACCUCUCCGGUAUCUUCUCGCUUCGCUUUUCUCUCACGUUUUUCUCGGUCCUCGCGCUCGUCGUCGAGGGCCUGAGCCCCAGCGCUCCGGCCCAGAGCGCUCAGCGGUCGGCGAAGGUUCAACAUCUUCAGGCGCGAAGGCGACGUCGAACUAGGGAUCGGUUCCUCGACAGAAGACAAGACAUCUGGUGGAGGGGAAGGAAAAGAAGAAGAAGCAAAAACAGCAGAAAGGUCCUCGUCAGCGGGGACAUCUGUGGGGGUAACGUGUGGUUUCCGAGUCUGCCCUUGGUCACGUUCGGGGGCCUGGGAGAAGCGGCGCUCCUCAUUCAAGACAUGGAAGAGCGAGUCGCGGACCUCCAGGGAAAGAGGAGAGGGGAAAGAGUGAACUCUUGGACUUUCAUCGUCCUGCCGUGAGGCGUCGUGGUCGGUUGAAAUGUCUAGGCGUCCUUCUUCUAAAGCGAGGAGCGAGAUCAACUCUCCGUGUUCGCAGCCCAUUUGUGGGGACUGAGUUUCCACCGUCGCGCACUGCGCGGCCUUGGCUGGGUCUGCGACCCUCGGGGCUUCUGCUCCUGCCUGGGGACUCCCAGGACCUUUGGAGCGUCGGUCGAAGAACGGAGUUUCUUGCAGCGCCCGCACAGCCGCAUCCCACAGUCGGCCCCUGGCGACAGCGCCGGAGGCAAAAAUCCCGGUUACCGAGUCCUCUUCUUCACUUCUCUCGCUUUUUUCUGGCCACAGGUGCUGCGGUCUCUCGCCCUGCUUCCCCGCUUCUAGCUGGGGCCGUAGGUGCCCGUCCAUGUCUCCGUCUGGACAGAGGUAGGUGGGCUCCUCCUCCAGUGUGCAUUUUCCAGUUUCCUUGAUGAAUUUCCAGCCUUCUCGACACACAGGCGUCGCCGCAUGCGCUCUCACGCGACGGCACAUGUCGUCCCAGCGAUUGUAGACGAAUUCUUGGGGGCAGACAGGCUGCGGAUCUGCGAGUUUCUCCAGCACACAGGAAUCGCCUACAAGGUGGUAGUCCGCCUCGGGGCACACUCGAGCAGGCGGUGGGCUCCAAAAGGAAACGCAGGUCAACAAUCCCGUUUCCGGAUCAGGUGACAGGUCCCAGCCUUCCUCGCAAAAGGGGACGGGGUCGACAAAGAGCCGGCGCUCACACUGGUGAGCGGUCUGCAGGCGCAGAAACGAAACACAGGAACGGAUCGUGUCGAGGUUGAAACGUGGAACGCGUGAGCCCGCAGCAGAAAGGAACGCGACAGCCAAACCGCACACCGACUUGUUGAUGACGUGGUGAGGUUCCGCGAAGACUCGGUUCGGUCGCAGAAUCGAUGGGGAGGCAAACCUGCGCCGCUUGUCAUGUAGCGAAGCAUCACGAUUCAGAUCAUCCUGCCGUCCGUACACAGGGGACAGUCCCACCAGAAGCGGUCAUGGAUAGACGUGCUUUGCGCAAUUGAGUUGAGUGCAGACAGAGUUGCGAAGGUCGCUGAAGAGGCGACGCCCUAAAAGUCGAUAGAGUGUUCACCGGAAAAGUUGGAAACAACUGACCUCGUUGAGCUCGAAGCCUGGCGGACAAGACACGGUUGGCUCUUCCUCACUGUGUUUGAUACAGAGGCCGAGAGAGGAAUCGAAUACGCCUUCUUUGCAUGUGAAAAGAGGCUCUUCCUCGGUCAGUUUAACGCACUCCGACUCGGA
rnacentral:lncRNA from 1 species